CUAUGAAUUAAAGGGGACAAAAUGAGCGGUCGUGGUUCGCUACAGUGAUUGAGAAGAGGAAAGAGACUGAGAGGCAGAGGGAGAAGUCGCACCUUGGAGCAAGGCUGUGUUGUUGCAUCCUGCUGCUGCCCUUUCUAGGUUGCUGUUCCUGCAGCUGCGUUUGCUCUCACCCAUCAGCUCAAUUGCCUGACUGGUCCAUUGUACUGAGGAUUGUAAUGAAUUCAGACCACUAUAGAAGUCUGGAGUUUUGAGAGAAUGGUAGCAUUUGUAAAGAUAAGAUGCUUUGCCAUACCACAAUAAAAGAAAGCUUAGAACACAGGAUUUUUGGAAACUGACAGUACCGCCGCACGCUCACUACAGGUUGAAGGUCAUGCUGCAUGGCUGGUUUCAUGGUGCUCACUUUCAUUACAACUGUCUUCUUCUGUUUCUGGGGCAAAUCUGCUGCACCUGGACUAUUUUCCCAGAAUUCAUCUCUCUAUAUCAUAUGCCUCACCUUUUAAUCCUGACUCAGCUUACUGGCCAAUUAGCCAUUAAUUGACAUGAUUUAAAAUUCAUUUUUGUUUAUUUUCUUGAUGUUCAGUACUUUUGAUUCUUUGUAUAUUCUAGAUAUUAACCAUCUGUCAGACUUACAGUUGAUAAAGAAUUUUUUUACUCAGUUGACUGUUGCAUCCCUGGAAUAAUAGCAACCUUUGCUUUACAGACUCUUGUAGUUUCAUGAGGUUCUAUUAGUUAAAACUCUUCAAGCAGGUACUAUAGCUCAGAAGGACCUUUCCUGUGCCAAAAUAGUCUGGGGUAUCUACAGCACUAUUUUUUAGAAAUUUUGUCAAAAUGAGAUAGCUGUAGGAGUAUGGACUUACAUGCGGGAUCUAUUUUAUUGAUUAAUCUGCCUGUUUUUCUGCCUCUGCCAUGCUGUUUUUUAUUGUUGUUGCUGGCUGCAACACUUGGGAAAGCAGCCCCAGUAUCUUGCCCAAGAAGAUCAGCCAAGCUGGCCCUGGUUGUAGUGGUCAGAUGAGCAGGGCCGGAGACUGCGAGUGGAGGAGAAAUAAUUCAGCUUCUUGUUGGCCUUAGAGUGGUGUGUAUAUGUGAGUGAUGCCCCCAAGCCUUUGAGGCAUAUGGGAUAUUUGAAGAGCUAGCUUUAGACUGUCCCUGGACUGGACAGUCUGGGAGAGGUAGCCUAGAGGGUAUGAAAGCAGGGGAACUGGCUCACCCCGACACCUGAUGCAGAAUUAGGAAGAAUGAACCCAGCAUUUGACCUGGACCUGGUUGUGGACGCAUGGGAGAACUCCCCCAAGGGAAUGAGAACAGGUGGGAAGGCCCCAUCCCUUGCCAGCUGCAGCACUUGAGGGAACAGGCCCUGCUGUACCUCCCCUAGACAGCACAGUAGAGCUGGUCCUUGGUGGCUGCAGCACUGGGGUGAGCUGUCCCUGCUCCUCUCCAGGGCACUGGUGGAGGUUUGUCCCCAAUGUCAUGAGUCUGGGAGGGCAGUUAGGCUCACCAAUUCAUCUACCACUCAGAUGCAGAUCCAGAGUUUUGAGUUAGCCCACCCCAGCAUCUACCCCAUGCAUAAACUGCUGGAACUCCUGGAGGGGCUGGUUCUCCAGGAUCAAAUCUACACGAUCUCUAUGACAAGAGGGUAUCUGGGAGGAUUCUCAGUGAGGAUCCAGUGUUGAUAAUAUAGCCUCAGACCAUACCAAUGACUCAGUGCAAUGUAUAGCUUCAAGAAAAAGCUGUUUGGGUAUAGCUUGUGAGGUACAUCAACGUGCUGCAGCUUCUAAGGGGAAACAUUUGAUUGUUUGCUGUUGUUCUGGUUGUUUUCUUUUGAAUGGCAGUUGCAAGGGUAGAGGGUAAAUAUGAAGGUAUGGGAAGAUGAGUGUGAUGGGGAGCAUGAUGUGAAUUCACAAAGAAUCAAUAAAAUGUUAAAAAAAAACG
rnacentral:lncRNA from 1 species